UACGUAGGGUGCAAGCGUUGUCCGGAAUUAUUGGGCGUAAAGAGCUCGUAGGCGGUCUGUUGCGUCGGCUGUGAAAACCCGGGGCUCAACCCCGGGCCUGCAGCCGAUACGGGCAGACUAGAGUUCGGCAGGGGAGACUGGAAUUCCUGGUGUAGCGGUGAAAUGCGCAGAUAUCAGGAGGAACACCGAUGGCGAAGGCAGGUCACUGGGCCGCAACUGACGCUGAGGAGCGAAAGCAUGGGGAGCGAACAGG
rnacentral:rRNA from 1 species